UACGAAGGGGGCUAGCGUUGCUCGGAAUCACUGGGCGUAAAGGGCGCGUAGGCGGACUCUUAAGUCGGAGGUGAAAGCCCAGGGCUCAACCCUGGAACUGCCUUCGAUACUGAGAGUCUUGAGACCGGAAGAGGUAAGUGGAACUGCGAGUGUAGAGGUGAAAUUCGUAGAUAUUCGCAAGAACACCAGUGGCGAAGGCGGCUUACUGGUCCGGUCCUGACGCUGAGGCGCGAAAGCGUGGGGAGCAAACAGG
rnacentral:rRNA from 1 species